rnacentral:rRNA from 1 species
CGCAUCUGUGCAUGCAGCAUAUCAAUAAGGGAGGAAAAGAAACUAACAAGGAUUCCCUUAGUAACGGCGAGUGAAGCGGGAAGAGCUCAAAUUUGAAAUCUUCAAGGUUUUACCUUGACGAAUUGUAGUUUAAAGAAGUGUUUUCUGUUGAAGUUUUGGUAAAAGUUCUUUGGAAUAGGACAUCAUAGAGGGUGAGAAUCCCGUAUUUGACCAUUAUUUUCAGCUGUGUGAUACACUUUCAAAGAGUCGGAUUGUUUGGGAAUGCAGUCCAAAAUGGGUGGUAAAUUUCAUCUAAAGCUAAAUAUUGGCGAGAGACCGAUAGCGAACAAGUACCGUGAGGGAAAGAUGAAAAGAACUUUGAAAAGAGAGUUAAACAGUACGUGAAAUUGUCAAAAGGGAAGCGUUUGACACCAGUGUUGUUUUCUCGAAAAUCAAUUAAAAAGAGUUUGAUUUUGUUGUGUAUUGACCUUAACAGCUUGCAUUUCAAUUUUCUUGCUUUUUUUAAUGCACUUUUCGUUUAACAAGUCAACAUCAGUUUCUUUUGUUGUAAAAAGGUCAUUGGAAGGUGGCUUUCUUUUCGGAGAAAGUGUUUAUAGCCUUUGACUCCUGCAAUCGGAGAGACUGAGGUCUGCAGCGUAGAUCCUUCGGGGUUAGAUACAUUUGUGCUAAGUUAUAGCUUUUUAUAGACAACUUGUUGACUAUGAUUAGUCUUGUAGCUUACUCGCUUAAGCUAUUUUACCUACGCUUAGGAUGUUGAUGUGAUACUGCGAGCA